UGUGCUGAGGGUUUGAAUGAUGAUGUAAUAACGGGAUGGAGUAUCCGAACUUAGACUGCCAGACUUUGUUUUCUGUGCUCCGGCGUUUUCCGUUUGUAGGUCGCUUAGUACUAAGGCGUUUCUCGCAGUGCUACAAUCAGUACGAGGACUUUGUUCUGCGUCCCCAGAGGGCGCUUAGCGUAACAUGCACUCAUCACAUCUCAAGCAGCGUAAAACUGUCGUCGACUUACAGAGGAGGAGAGACAUGCUUCUGCGCUUUUCACGACGGUGAGCGAAGGGGGCCGUUUGAUAGUAUUGGCAGUGAUUGUGUGUAUGUUAACAUCAAAGGAAGUCGUGUUGAUUCCUACGGUGUUCACCUUGAAUCUCGUGAUGACGUGAAUUUCUGGUUGGACGUCAAUGAUCGUUUCAAAACUUUCUUCGUCUCCGCGCUGUUCUCUGAUGAAUGGGAGGCAUGGACACAGCUGGCAGGAAGUGCAUGCGCUGGUAUUAGGUACAGCACAUAUCUUAAUUCAAGAACAUAUCUUUCCUGUGGCAUCCAGUCAUCUCGCAAAGAGGUUUCUGCUGCUCUGUCCGUUUUUCACAAGCUUCAUGAAAGGGUUUUUGGUUUUUUCAACGUAGUCGUGUCUGCCACUGCGCUGCAGCCGUUUUUCGUUUGCCAGAAGAGCUUCUCUUGGAUAUCUCUGCGCUACAUUCAAGACUUGCGCAGCUGCGCUUGCGAGGUUUUUUUUGAGAGAAGAGGUGUUUUAUUAGGGUUUCGUGUUCAAAAAUGCUCGUCAGGUGUUCGGAGGAUGUUUGCAUUUGAAUGGUGAGGUGUCGCGCGAUUUCGCUUCUGCUCAGGAAGUGUGGGCAUGCGUGUGGCACCAGUGUUGUCCUUUUUUUUUGCUCCAUAUAUUUUUGGCUGGUGAUGAAGAACGGGCUUGUUUGUAGGGAGCAAACGCUCUCUGAGUUGCGGUAUGAUGUUGUUUUCAGACUUUCCGAGGGCUUGAUCGGCAAGGUGUUUUCGGCUACUUCAAGAAAAGAGAACUACCCCACUCUUUUUCGCAUGCGGUGACAAUUUUUUUUUUGGCUUGUGCUCUUUUCUUUAUUUUUGUUUCUGCAGUCAGUUAUUAUCUUUCUUGGGCGUGCUAUAUAUCGAACUCUUCGAUCCUGAUCUGUAAUACAGACAAAGCGCCCUGUGCGCAGUGAGCGUACUCAGAGCGUUUUUAUCGUUCUCAUCUGUAAAGUAAUGCAGUGUCCCCUUGCGUUCUUUCUUCGAAUUAUCCAGCUCUG
rnacentral:misc_RNA from 1 species